rnacentral:lncRNA from 1 species
UAAUUGCCUCUGUCAGCAUAGCAUUUAUGCAUACAAAUAAGUGACCUGUACACUGUAAUUCUAAAAUGUCACGUUAUUUCAACUCCUGAGCAAGCAUAAGUAGGGU